GACGAACGCUGGCGGCGUGCUUAACACAUGCAAGUCGAACGGAAAGGCCCUGCUUGCAGGGUACUCGAGUGGCGAACGGGUGAGUAACUCGUGGGUGAUCUGCCCUGCUCUUCGGGAUAAGCCUGGGAAACUGGGUCUAAUACCUGCUAGGUGCUAUUUUUAGCGUGAUGGUUGGAAAGUUUUUUGCGUGAUGGAUGAGCUCGCGGCCUAUCUGCUUGUUGGUGGGGUAAUGUCCUACCGAGGCGGCUACGGGUAGCCGGCCUGAGGGGGUGGACGGCCACAUUGGGACUGAGAUACGGCACAGACUCCGACGGGAGGGCGCAGGGGGGAAUAUUGCACGAUGGGCGCAAGCCUGAUGCAGAGACGCCGCGUGGGGGAUGACGGCCUUCGGGUUGUAAAAUCCUUUCGCUAGGGACGAAGCUUUUUGUGACGGUACCUAGAUAAGAAGCACCGGCUAACUACGUG
rnacentral:rRNA from 1 species